rnacentral:piRNA from 1 species
AGGCAGGACAGAAGAACAUCAACU